AAGAUACACGCUUCGAGAUGAUUACACAUUGGUUUAGUCCCUUUCAAAGCAGUACUAGCUGAAUGUGGCAGUGCAUAUGCUCAGUCCUUCCAACUCUGGAUGUUGAGGCAGACCCUGAUUCUGGAGCUCAGAUUUGCUUGGAACUUAUUAUGAAAACUGGCCUCACACUCACGGCAGUCCUCCUUCUUCAGCCUAUGUGCUGGGACUUCAAGAUACAUUGCCAAGCCCAGACUCUAAAUUUGAGAGGAUUAGGAAAUUUCUGCAGAUGAAAUAAAAGCUACACACACACACACACACACACACACACACACACACACACACACACCACUUUCUCUGUAAUCCUGAAAGGCCCAUUGACUACUAAAGCAAGUCUAUGGAGCUGUGGCUUUUUCUGGACAAACAUAUGCUGAUCUUUUUUCUGGAGCAAGUGCUGCAGAAGAGCUUACUGAAUUGAAAUAGGAUAUAAACUUGAUUACUGAAC
rnacentral:lncRNA from 1 species